GAUGAACGCUGGCGGCGUGCCUAAUACAUGCAAGUCGAGCGAACAGACGAGGAGCUUGCUCCUCUGACGUUAGCGGCGGACGGGUGAGUAACACGUGGAUAACCUACCUAUAAGACUGGGAUAACUUCGGGAAACCGGAGCUAAUACCGGAUAAUAUAUUGAACCGCAUGGUUCAAUAGUGAAAGACGGUUUUGCUGUCACUUAUAGAUGAAUCCGCGCCGCAUUAGCUAGUUGGUAAGGUAACGGCUUACCAAGGCAACGAUGCGUAGCCGACCUGAGAGGGUGAUCGGCCACACUGGAACUGAGACACGGUCCGGACUCCUACGGGAGGCAGCAGUAGGGAAUCUUCCGCAAUGGGCGAAAGCUUGACGGAGCAACGCCGCGUGAGUGAUGAAGGUCUUCGGAUCGUAAAACUCUGUUAUUAGGGAAGAACAAAUGUGUAAGUAACUAUGCACGUCUUGACGGUACCUAAUCAGAAAGCCACGGCUAACUACGUG
rnacentral:rRNA from 1 species